GAGAGCCACUAGGAAUUUUUUCGAGAACUUGAACUCAAAUUUGAUGAUACUUAAAGCAUGUUUGGUUGAUAGGCUUAAGAAUAGAUUCCAGCCCAAUUCUGCGAGUCCACCACUAAACAUUAGUUUAGUUGGCUAUAAUAUUAUUAUUGCCCGAAUCUAUUCAAGAUCUAUUACGAGAAAAGGCUGAAUAGUGAUUCUCUUCUCUUACCAUUGAAUAGCUAUUCAUUCCAGUGCAAAGUAAAAAAAAAAUUCCCUUUUUCAAUUUUUGCCCUUUACCUCUCCCUAUAGAAUCUCCCUAUAGAAUGAAGAAGUACUAGAACUAUCAUCUUCUCCCUCGGUUCACUGUCAAAAAAACUUGCAAAAUUUGUCAUCGGCCAACAAAAGGCAAAGAAGGUGUUAGCUGUGGCAGUUUACAACCACUAUAAAGGAUAUACCAUUCCUUCAAGAAAAACGAGGCAUCUGAAUUGGGUGACAAUGAUAAACAUGUUGCCAAUGAUUUUGUUGAGCUGGAAAAGAGCAAUGUACUGUUAAUAGGUCCCACUAGUUCAGAUGACAAUGCCCAGAGAUGCUUUACAUCUUGGUGGAGUGGAACAUCGGGAGUUAUAUAAUGCCUAUGGAUAUUACUUCCACAUGGCAACAGCUGAAGGCCUUCUAAAGCAUAGGGAUGGUAAGGUCGGACCUUUUGUCUGGUCCAGAGCAUUCUUUGCUGGAAGUCAAAGGUAUGGAGCAGUUUGGACUAGUGAUAAUUCUUGGAUUGGGAUCAGCUCAGGGUUUCAGUCCCAAUGGUUUUGACGCUUGGUUCUGGAAUGACAUUCUCUGGGGCUGAUGUUGGUGGAUUUUUUGGCAAUCCUAAGCCUGAGUUAUUAGUGCGUUGGUAUCAACUUGGUGCUUAUUAGCCUGAGUUAUUGAAUGAAUAUAGCAUUUAGGUUUCUUUUAGUAGAUGCAAAAUGUAGAUGCAAAUUUGUUGUUGCUAAAUACUUUGAUGGGUGCUUCUUUCUCCAACUUAAGGAUUCACCUUCUGUUUAAUGUGUUUCUUCUCAUUGCUUUACUUUAUUCAAUGUCUAUUGGUGUUAGUAAAUUGGUCAACUCAUGAGAAUGUUGUUGCUGCACUUUCUUCUGAAUUUCCUUGCCAAGAAGCUGAAGACUGCAAUCAUCAAGACAAUAAAAAGGGCUUAGAAUGUCUUCUUCAGGCAUGGUUUCUUGCUCAACUUGAUGCUAUAGCUUCAAAUGCAGAGACGGAAGUUAACACGUUGAUUUUGGGGAGUGAAAGUCUACUUCACUUUCAGGUGACCAUAUAUGAUUUUGGAACUUAUAGACUUGUCUCAUCUAAUGGUUUUUCAGAGAAGAGAAAUAAGACAGGAUUUGUCAAUUAAAAUUUCAUACAUAUUGACCAUCUCAGAGGAAACACUCUAAAGUGGACAAGUCAAUGCAUAUGAACUUUCAUUUUGUUAAUUUUUUGUGUUUGUAAUAUUUGGAUGGUAUAAUGACAUGAUAGAAUGUCAUUACAAUGUUAUAAUUUUUAAUGUUGUAAAAUUUUAUAACAUAUGGAUUAUGACAUAUAAACUAAUAAAAUCAUGUAACUUUUGCUAAUAUAUGAAUAUUAUGUUUGGAUGUGAAAUAUAA